CAUUUCUUCAAAGUAACGGGCUCCGUCAGCACACGUUCUCCUCCAUGGAUGCACUAACGUUUGGACCAGCAUUUUAAGAGACAAUCUCUUGAGUGCCAGAAGUGGAAAUUUGUCCUUCUUCCUUACUCUGUUUUGGUUGCAAGAAUAAAACAAUUUGCAAAGAUGAAUAUGACGGGAGAAGGCUGUAACCUAGACUUAUCUCCAGUCCAGACAGGAAAAGAGAAAUAAUAAAGGACUACUCCUGUGACCUACUUCAGUUAAACAGACCUGACAUUUCAUACAAUUCCUUUGAUUUCGGUCCAGACAUUAAGAUAAAGUGCGAGACUGGAUGUGAACGUGCCUGAGCAUCUAAGCAUCUUUCAGACCAUUCAAUAAGCCUUUCUCUAUCACCCUGUUGUACAUAAAUAAACCAAUUCUCAAGAACCUGUUACUUCCAUUGAGACAUUCACCAAACACAGUUCUCUGUUACAGAGCUACUGAAAGACGACAACUACCAUAUGAGGAGUGAGACCAAAGCCUGCAGUUUCCCAGGUGAGGUCUGAAUGUGCCUAUGUCUUCCUUUGAACAUCAGUAAGCUUAUUUAAUCAAAUGUGCAACGUAAUUCCAUGCAACAUCAGCCCUAAUAAUCUCCACCGAGGUCAGUGGGGCUCUGUGCCCGUGUUGCGCUCCACGUGAAUAAAUUGAAUUGCAGGCCUAUGUUGAAAUCAUCUUGAUCUCAUUUUUCUUAGAUAUCUACAUGUGU